rnacentral:rRNA from 1 species
UACAGAGGUCCCAAGCGUUGUUCGGAUUCAUUGGGCGUAAAGGGUGCGUAGGCGGCGCGGUAAGUCGGGUGUGAAAUCUCGGGGCUUAACUCCGAAACUGCAUUCGAUACUGCGGUGCUUGAGGACUGGAGAGGAGACUGGAAUUUAUGGUGUAGCAGUGAAAUGCGUAGAGAUCAUAAGGAAGACCAGUGGCGAAGGCGGGUCUCUGGACAGUUCCUGACGCUGAGGCACGAAGGCCAGGGGAGCAAACAGG